CUUCUCAAAUUGGCAGCACAUAAACUAAAACUGGAACGAUACAGAGAAGAUUAGCAUGGUCCCUAAGAAAGGAUGACAAGCAAAUUCGUGAAGCAUUCCAUAUUUUU
rnacentral:snRNA from 1 species